CGCUUCCUUUGGGAUUCAAGCAGACAGGAGACACUUGAGAGAGUCCUUGACCUUCAUGGGUCCCUUAUGAAUCAUUAACCUGGAAGAUGGAUCCUGCAGCCUGGCAGGGCAGCUCUUGGGUUUCAUUUCUGUGUCUCCACCUCAGCUGCUGUUCCACCCUUUCCUCAGCACUGUGACAUCCCUGCACGUGGAGGCAGUGCAGCAAAGGGCAGUAUUCCCAUCAUCUGCUCAGCUUUACAGUCCCUGCCCUUUACCCUCGCACAUGGACACAGUGUGAGGAUAAUGGAGACACACAAUUCUGCCUUCUUGCUCCAGAACCUGCAGGUCUGCUAAAGCUCCCGGACCAUCAGGUGGAGUUGUGGUUACAAACGAGGACCCCCAGUUUGGAAGGUCUGACUGAACAGUGAGUGGUGCCUGGACAUGAAAUCAUUUGGGGCUGCACAGAAGAGGGAUAGAAGAAGAAGCCGAGAAAAAUGAGAUAAGAAACACAGAGACAAGGAUAGCAAUGUGGAUCAUUCCAGCAGCAAGAUUAAUAAUGAA